rnacentral:rRNA from 1 species
GAUGAACGCUGGCGGCGUGCCUAAUACAUGCAAGUCGAGCGAACGGACGAGAAGCUUGCUUUUCUGAUGUUAGCGGCGGACGGGUGAGUAACACGUGGAUAACCUACCUAUAAGACUGGGAUAACUUCGGGAAACCGGAGCUAAUACCGGAUAAUAUUUUGAACCGCAUGGUUCAAAAGUGAAAGACGGUCUUGCUGUCACUUAUAGAUGGAUCCGCGCUGCAUUAGCUAGUCGGUAAGGUAACGGCUUACCAAGGCAACGAUGCAUAGCCGACCUGAGAGGGUGAGCGGCCACACGGGAACUGAGACACGGUCAAGACUCCUACGGGAGGCAGCAGUAGGGAAUCUUCCGCAAUGGGCGAAAGCCUGACGGAGCAACGCCGCGUGAGUGAUGAAGGUCUUCGGAUCGUAAAACUCUGUUAUUAGGGAAGAACAUAUGUGUAAGUAACUGUGCACAUCUUGACGGUACCUAAUCAGAAAGCCACGGCUAACUACGUG